GAGGGUGUAGCUCAGUGAUAGAGUGCUUGCUUAGCAUGCACGAGGUCCUGGGUUCAAGCCCCAGUGCCUCCA
rnacentral:tRNA from 1 species